rnacentral:lncRNA from 1 species
AGAAAAGCCAAAUGCCAUGAAUUCUUGUUCCUCUGAAUGUCUGAGCAAGUGAGGAUCAGAGGAGGACUGUGGAGGGAACCACUCCUUUAAUAAAAAUUCUGUGGCCCUUCCUCUGAAAGCCACUCCAGACCCCACCGAGUCCUGGCUGUCACGCUGCACAGCACAGGGGCCAGCAUCCACACUGCACCUGUGUGGCCCUCCUUGGGCGUACAGACCACCUACCAGACCCCCAACUUGCAGCACUGAGUCCCAGGACCAUGGAGACUGGGAGCCUCUUCUGCAUGCAAGGACGGGCUUAGUGUUGAUGAGCCUGGGGAAACAUCUUUGCUGUCAAGUCUUCCAUUUCUGCAGAAGGGAUUCAGCCAUGAAAACUUGACAGGAAAAUCAUGACUUCCAAAUUACAUAUGCAAAUUCCUUUCCUUUCUAGAUGUUGAUGUCUCUCCAAAUCUCUCGCGGUUCAUGCAUUGGAUACCUUGCCUGACCCAGCAGGCUGCAGGAUGAGGAGCACAGUGAGGAGCUGGGGUCUCACUCCCACAGGUGGGCCCCAGAAGCACAGAGCAGGGGCAGGAGCAGACUGGAUGAUGGAUGGCACAGGGUCCCUCCGGGAUCAGAGGUUUCUUUUUGGCCUGGCAGCAGAGGUGGUUAUCCCAAGACUAGCUCAUGUCUUGUUGUGGCACCCACUUCUACAUUCUGGAGAAUUCAAGAUCUGAGUCUUUCCUCCUACAUUUUACUUUAAGCACCAAGGAGAAACCAGGACAUGACUUCAACACUUUGCUUGGAAAUCUCCUAAGUCCAUGUUCAUCAGCAACAAGCUUUACUUUCCAUAAAAAGUUGAGGGCUCACCGAAAGAUGAUCUCAUCUUAAUUAAUUACAGCUGCAAAGACCCUGUUUUCAAAUAAGGUCAUGAACUCUGAAGUUCCAGGCGGACUCGUAUUUUGGUGGGGGAACACCAUUCUACCCAGCAUAGACAUUAAUCCACCCAUUUCAGAAGCCUAGUGCAUCCCUAGAAGGAAAAUUAAGGAAGUCCACACCUAGAAAAAUCACAGUGCAACUGCACAAGGCCAAAGAUAGAGUGUCUCAGAAGCCGUAAGAGAAAGAGGUCAGAAGUCAUCAAGUGAAGUGUGAAGUUUUUGCAGACAUGUCAAGCAUGAUUGAAAAUACCCAAUUAUAGAAUGUACCAAGUUUUUCACUGCUUGAGGUGAAAAAAAUGCUUUGAGGUUGGGAGAGCAGAAAGGAGGGUGGC